AGAGUUUGAUCCUGGCUCAGGAUGAACGCUGGCGGCGUGCUUAACACAUGCAAGUCGAGCGAAGCACUUAAGUUUGAUUCUUCGGAUGAAGACUUUUGUGACUGAGCGGCGGACGGGUGAGUAACGCGUGGGUAACCUGCCUCAUACAGGGGGAUAACAGUUAGAAAUGACUGCUAAUACCGCAUAAGACCACAGGGUCGCAUGACCCGGUGGUAAAAACUCCGGUGGUAUGAGAUGGACCCGCGUCUGAUUAGCUAGUUGGUGGGGUAACGGCUCACCAAGGCGACGAUCAGUAGCCGACCUGAGAGGGUGACCGGCCACAUUGGGACUGAGACACGGCCCAAACUCCUACGGGAGGCAGCAGUGGGGAAUAUUGCACAAUGGGGGAAACCCUGAUGCAGCGACGCCGCGUGAGUGAGGAAGUAUUUCGGUAUGUAAAGCUCUAUCAGCAGGGAAGAAGAAAUGACGGUACCUGACUAAGAAGCCCCGGCUAACUACGUGCCAGCAGCCGCGGUAAUACGUAGGGGGCUAGCGUUAUCCGGAUUUACUGGGUGUAAAGGGAGCGUAGACGGAGUGGCAAGUCUGAUGUGAAAACCCGGGGCUCAACCCCGGGACUGCAUUGGAAACUGUCAAUCUGGAGUACCGGAGAGGUAAGCGGAAUUCCUAGUGUAGCGGUGAAAUGCGUAGAUAUUAGGAGGAACACCAGUGGCGAAGGCGACUUACUGGACUGUAACUGACGUUGAGGCACGAAAGUGUGGGGAGCAAACAGGAUUAGAUACCCUGGUAGUCCACACCGUAAACGAUGGAUACUAGGUGUAGGAGAUAUUAAGUUUUCUGUGCCGUCGCAAACGCAGUAAGUAUCCCACCUGGGGAGUACGGCCGCAAGGUUGAAACUCAAAGGAAUUGACGGGGGCCCGCACAAGCAGCGGAGCAUGUGGUUUAAUUCGACGCAACGCGAAGAACCUUACCAAGGCUUGACAUCUACUUAAGCUCAUGGAAACAUGAGGUCCCUUCGGGGGAAGUAAGACAGGUGGUGCAUGGUUGUCGUCAGCUCGUGUCGUGAGAUGUUGGGUUAAGUCCCGCAACGAGCGCAACCCCUGUACUUAGUUGCCAGCAUGUAGAGAUGGGAACUCUAAGUAGACUGCCGCGAAUAACGCGGAGGAAGGUGGGGAUGACGUCAAAUCAUCAUGCCCUUUAUGUCCUGGGCUACACACGUACUACAAUGGGUGUAACAGAGGGAAGCAACACAGCGAUGUGAAGCGAAACCCAAAAAGCACCCCCAGUUCGGAUUGAAGGCUGAAAUUCGCCUUCAUGAAGCCGGAAUUGCUAGUAAUGGCAGGUCAGCAUACUGCCGUGAAUACGUUCCCGGGCCUUGCACACACCGCCCGUCA
rnacentral:rRNA from 1 species